rnacentral:sRNA from 1 species
GCCAGGUGUGGUGGUGCACACCUGUAAUACCAGAUACUUGGAGGCUGAGGCAGGAAGGUCUUCAGUUCAAGGCCAGUCUGGGCAAGUUAUUGAGACCUUCUCUCAA